rnacentral:rRNA from 1 species
AUUGAACGCUGGCGGCAGGCCUAACACAUGCAAGUCGAGCGAGCGGCGGACGGGUGAGUAAUGUAUGGGGACUGCCCGAUAGAGGGGGAUAACUACUGGAAACGGUAGCUAAUACCGCAUACUAUCGGAUAACCCAUAUGGGAUUAGCUAGUAGGUGAGGUAAUGGCUCACCUUGGCGACGAUCCCUAGCUGGUCUGAGAGGAUGAUCAGCCACACUGGGACGGCGAAACGGCCCAGACUCCGACGGAGGCAGCAGUGGGAAAGAUUGCACAAUGGGGGCAAGCCUGCUGCAGCCAUGCCGCGUGGAGGAAGAAGGCCCUAGGGUUGUAAAGUACUUUCAGUCGGGAGGCGUUACCGACAGAAGAAGCACCGGCUAACUCCGUGCCAGCAGCCGCGGUAAUAC